GGAUGUUUUUGUAAACAUACAGUUCUUUUAGAAAUUGUGCAAUGCUUUAAUACAUCAAACCAAACAAUGGAUAAGAAAUAUCUCAGCAUAACUAAUAUCAGCAUAACUAAUACAAACAUUACUAAUACCAACAUUACUAAUACACCAUAUUCACCAUUAUUCUUGUACACUUUACCAAACGACCCUUAAUGAAUUUGUUCUCCUGCUUGCACCUAUUACGAGGCAAUCCACGCAGUAUGUACCAUCAGGAUAAAGAAUUGCCAAGCAUGGCCACUAGUUGGCGUCUUGCCAGGACUUCCAAAUAUUUCUUGACCUUAACUUUACACAUUUUUUGGAACUUUAACCAGUUAUUG
rnacentral:lncRNA from 1 species